rnacentral:lncRNA from 1 species
AGUGUACAAGUAUUCAGCUUGUUUAAAUUCUAGCAUAACACAAACUUUUUUCCUCUAAAUUCCUUGACAUAAAAGAAUUGCUUGAUAUUACACUCUAAGUCUCAGAGAAUUAGACAGGAUUAAGAAGGUCCCCUCUUAUAGGAUCCUAGCAUACAAAGAACCUAAACAAUUUAAAGAUGUAGUUAGUGAGACAGAAAUGUCAGAGGCUCAAUGGUUAAAAUGACUUAUGGAUGACCAAAGCAAUUCUCUGUAGUUACAAAAUCCAUCUCCUUGUCCAAGCCAGAGGUCUAAUGCCUAAAGUCAUUGUCACUUUUCCCUUGGGCUGUAGCAAACAAUCUGAUCCCUUCAUGUGGGAAUCCUCCCGAAAGGCAGGAUUAAGGCUACAGCCCAUUAUAGCAGUAUAGCAGUGCUCUCCUUCUAGGUAAUUAGAAACACUAACAAAACUCCUUUUGUUUCCAACUAAAAUCUUUACCUGGUUCCCAAGCCUAAAUAAAAUGCCAUCUAAAAUCUGAAGUUACCUGAGUGACAAAUUUUCCCACUGUUAUUAAUUGCUGGGCAGAGAGCUGGAAGUAUCAUUUAACCCCAUAGGGGAGUCCCAUGUUCUAAUUAGUUGAUAAGGAAACUACAGAUGAAAAAUGCUGAAGCAAUGUCCUUGCAGGAUUUUUAAAUUAAUAAUCACUCAUUCAACCAACAUGAGAAGGCAGAGGCAAAUUUGGGAUAGCCUAGUUUUUUAGGUCCAUGAUAACGGAUUGGUCAUCAGAGAUGAAUCCUCCCACUGUCCCAGUCAGAAGAUAUGGAAACUACUUGGUGUGAGGUUGAGUACGUAUGUAUGAGAGUUGCUUACAGAUCUUUUUUGAAGUUUUAUCUUUAGCAAUGGUUCCAAAAUGCCUAAAAGAACAAUGUCCUUAACUAAACGUUUUAAAAUUCCCAUCAUAUAUUAUCAAAGGUUAAAAUUUAGCACCUCAUCAGCAUAUCUAAAAUAAUCAUUCUUACAGCAUCUUUCCUUUGAAGGCUUUUCAUGGUUAAAAAAAGAGAGAAAAUGUAGUAGAUCUAGUUAUUAAAAAUGAAUCACAGCACCGACUAAUUUAUAAUACAGUAGUCUUUAAACUGCUUAUUUGUGGUUAAAACGAAAAGUAGAUCAAUAUAUUUGAGUAGAUUUCUUAUUGCAAAUCAAAAUUUUUAUAAAUUACAAAAAACUUCAAAUGUUAUUAGAUUUCUAAUCAUAUUUUUGCAGUACAACAAAUGUGUCUGUCAUGUGAGUUAGAGGCACUUGGAAGACAAGCUGGUCUUCACAUGUAGUCCUAGAAUAGCAGUACUAACACCUUCGGGGAACAUGCUACAAAUGGAUAUUGUUGGGCCCUACCCAGACCUACUGAGUCAGAAACUCCAGGGGUGGGACCUGGCAAUAAUCUUUUAACAAGUUCUCCCCUAUAUCAUCCUAGUAAACAUAAGAACUUUGAGAAUCAUCAAUGUAGAGCAUGGGCUCUGCAGUCAGACCAACAUGGGUCUCAGGAUGAGUUCUUUCAUUAAUAGCUGUGUGACCCUGACCAAUUUAAUAAGGUCCCUGAGUCCUUUUCCUGAAUUUGUAAAAAUGAGAUACCUGUCUCAAGAAACUUAAGGAAGAAAUGAGAGAACAUGUAGUAAAGUGCCUGGCACAAAGUAGGUGCCCCCAAAACUCUAGACUCUUUGAUUCUCAUCUAGGAACAUGAUAUUAAAAACAAUCAGGAAAACAAAUUAGCUUUUAUGUAAUGUGCUAUAUGUCUCCAGCUAAAUAGCCAUUACCAAGACUGAGGUUUUUGAUUCAGAACACACAAGUGUAGUUAUUUUCUCCAAUUGUAUUUUGCACUAUUAGGUUUAUAGCUUUAAAGUAAUACUUACUAUUUAUAAUAACAGCGAGAGUAUGAAUGUCAUUGUUACAAACCUAUCUACCCUGAAUCAGUGUGAAAUGCCAGGUAUGCAAGGUGAUCUGUGAAUUCAGUACUAGUAGAAUGUGGUCUGUAAAGACUAGCUCACCGGGAAAGCCUCUCUUUAGAUCCACGAUAUAGUUCCCACAUGGAUAUUGGAAAAUGCAUUUUCAAAACACACUCUUAAAGGAAAGUACACUUUUUUUUUUCUUCAGAAAAACAGAAUUGAUAGUUGUAGUGGUUCUUUGCAGGCAUCUAGGCCCACACUGCCAUGCACAGAUACGUCAGGCAGCCAGCCUAAGUCCAGUGUGCAGUGGUAGAAAUGGCAAGACUCAAUGUGGUACACCUGAAUUAAAAUCCUACCUUCUCCACUUACUUUCAAGACAAACUCUCAGUGAGCCAGGAGCCAAAACUAUAGAGGGACAGUCUUAAAUAUCUUGAGAGGUGUUGAGGAGCCUCUGAAGCAUAUAUGUGGAAGUGCCCUGUACACCAUUAAGCACCAUGUAAGGGUAAGGUCAUUAUGUAACACGUGUAUCAUUACAAUACGGUGCUAUUAUGGUGGAAAUGCCAUAGCAUGACCUAGGUCUUCU